UGCAUACCCAGCUUCCUAUAAAAUCUUUUCAAAGCGAACACAGUGUACCAUUUUAGCGCAGGCUGACCGAGCCCACAGCUGUCCCCUGCACACACGCCCUGCCCCCGAACAGCUGCAGGUCUUGAACCACCCUGGGGGUUCACUGAUCCAUCAUUUCAGGAAACAUGAUCAUCAGACUGGGCAGGCUCACACCUGGAUACUUCCGCCUUCUCCAGAGGCAGGUCGCUGGUGAGAUCCAGACGCAGCCUCAUGACCGCACCGUCAACCAGAUUGCCAUGAUGCUGGCCAUCAUGGGUCUGAGUCUGUCCUACUACAGUGCCAAACAGAUGACAGAGAAGGUCCAAGUCCAGCCUGCAGCCUGAAGAUUAUCAGUCGCUCCAGAAUCUGGAGAUGACAGAUGAACCAAUAAGAACCGGGAGGAAGAAAUGGAGGUAAAGGGAGGAAGAAAAGCACGGUGGUGUGUCUCGGGACAGCACUUUUCUCACCUUAGUCGUCAAUCACACCCUUCCACUGACUUCUUGGGAUCCUUCACUUAUCACCAGCGGAACUUUCAGGGUCAAAUAAAAAAUAAUUCCCAUUUUCUGGUGCAAGGACCUUCAACAAUUUGGGAGAUUUUCUUAUCUGGGGUCAUGGGGAGAACUGGUUUUAGUGCUUGGAAACCAGCUCACUGCCAAAUGGGUCUGAGCAUUAGUCAUUACAAGGGUGCAUGCUUGCAGGAUGCCAUCAGUGCUAUAAAAAAGAGAAAAACUUUCACUGUGAAACAAAUUUUGUCCACAAAGGGUUAUAUUUUCUGAAUUCUUCUUUUUAAGGGAUGGCUGACAGAGCUGUGCCUCCUGAUGAAGUGAUGGCAGACCCAGAACAAAACUAAAAGGGGAUGAUAUGUUACCUUUAAUAAUUUUGACUUUUUUGUUUUUUGUUCCUCCUCCAGAAUUUUGUAGAGCCUCAGAACAGAUCAUAAUCUGUGAUCUGUUGGUCUACAUGCCAGCUGUGUCUAUCAGUAAAUAUUUGCACAAAACUAUCGAAACCUUUUGAAAUGCUAAAGUGGAAUCUGCCAAGGGACUCCAAAGUACUCACUGUUUAUUGUGUGUUUUCAUUGUUUUAACAAUUCACAAGUCCUCUGUGUGUGACUGUUGAUGAGAACCUUUCUUGCAGGAUCUACAAAUGUUAAUGCAAUUGUGAAAUGUUAGUGAAAUGCAUGUACAUGUAGAAAUGUAAUCAUUGCAAUCCUUUUUUUAUUGAUGAAUGAAUGUGUCACUUUAUUUUUGCAAUGAUUUAAUAAAGCUGUGAAUAUUUAAAAAAAUUUCAAGCGGAUGUUUGAUAACAUUGGAAGAGUCUCGAGGUUGGCACAUUGAGCUGCAGCGUGACAUUGUUUCCUGCAUCUGAGAAUCUGUGGUGUCAUCUGCAUGCAACAGGAUGCGGUAGGUCUGACUUGCGUGUUAUGUCUCCUAAGUGAGACUGCAUUUUAAUUUUCUUUUCUUAUCCUGUUGGUGCCCCAUGUGCAAAUGGAAGCCCUAAUUUAUAGCUAGCUGCAAACAAGUCCAGCCUGCAGCCCGAAGAUUCUGGAGAUUUUGGAGGAGUGUAAAAUGUUCUUUAGGAUGUAUAUUAUGGGAAAAAGCCAUUUAAGCAAAUUUUUUGUCACAGAAUAUUAAUGCAACCUCCAAUACAUGGACAUAAAGCAUAGAAAUUCAACAGAAAUUGUCGACAGCUACUCUGUUUUUCCGGUUAUUUUGCAGGGCGUGGAGUUGUUCUGUGUUUGCAUGGCUGCUCCCGGCUGAUGUGAUGCCCGGUGACAGUCUGAGUUCUCGUUGGGUGCCACGUGACCCUCCCAAAACCUCUGCCCACGCCACUAGCCCCUCCCCUUCGCUCUCUAUCUUGCAUGUCACUGGGUAAAAAUCUCACUUUAGCAUCUAUGUGAUGAUGGCAUGAGGACACAACCCCAAAUGAAGAGUGACCAUUGGUUGACCGCUGAAGCGUCACAAUAAUCGGCCUGGUUCUGUGGUGGAGAGACAAAAGGAUGCGGAUUGGUCAUUGGUGGGGAUUGUGGGUGGGAUUAGCAUUCAAUGUUUAGAUUACAGGUUAUAAUUCGCAAAACAUAUAUGCAACACAUAUCCAAAAUCUCAGAGUGAGAGUUUUUUAAAAUUUGUUUUGAGGAAGAAGACAGUUUGAGUAAGCAGUCUGGCACAUUUAACCCUGAAAAAAAAAAAAAAAAAAUCAGACUGUAAAGCUUUCCUUGAUCUAAUUUCUAUCUUUAAAUAAACAAAUGCCAACAUCAGGAUCCUUGACGAACAUAAAUGUUUAUAAAUGGGGCUUAUAGUUAUGAUCAAUGGGAGAGUUGCUUGUUUUUGUACCAUGUGUGUUGGUUGUUUUAAACAGAUACAUAUUUACUCGGAUGAUGAAUGUAAAGCAUUUGAAGCACUUUUAGAUCAAGAGGUACUGAAUAAUUUUGUUUUGAUACUCAUUUGAAAUAAAGACUUUAUAUCUGAUGCUAGAACCAUUUAUUGGCACCGUUUAUAUAAAAAGUCUGCAGAUAAAUUCUGGUUU